rnacentral:rRNA from 1 species
UUGUCUCAAAGAUUAAGCCAUGCAUGUCUCAGUACAAGCCAAAUUAAGGUGAAACCGCGAAAGGCUCAUUAAAUCAGUUAUGGUUCCUUAGAUCGUACCCACAUUUACUUGGAUAACUGUGGUAAUUCUAGAGCUAAUACAUGCAAACAGAGCUCCAACCGGAGACGGAAGGAGCGCUUUUAUUAGAUCAAAACCAAUCGGUGGCGGGCUUGCUCGUCAUCGUACAACUUGGUGACUCUGAAUAACUUUACGCUGAUCGCAUGGUCUCGCACCGGCGACGCAUCUUUCAAAUGUCUGCCUUAUCAACUGUCGAUGGUAGGUUCUGCGCCUACCAUGGUUGUAACGGGUAACGGGGAAUCAGGGUUCGAUUCCGGAGAGGGAGCCUGAGAAACGGCUACCACAUCCAAGGAAGGCAGCAGGCGCGCAAAUUACCCACUCCCGGCACGGGGAGGUAGUGACGAAAAAUAACGAUACGGGACUCUUCCGAGGCCCCGUAAUCGGAAUGAGUACACUCUAAACCCUUUAACGAGGAUCAAUUGGAGGGCAAGUCUGGUGCCAGCAGCCGCGGUAAUUCCAGCUCCAAUAGCGUAUAUUAAAGUUGUUGCGGUUAAAAAGCUCGUAGUCGAAUUUGUGUCCCGCGCCGCCGGUUCAUCGCACGCGGUGUUAACUGGCG